CUGCUUUUAUUUUGAAAAACUCUGUUGAAGUUUUAAAUUAAAUACAUUUUUAACCCUUUCAGAAUAAAAUCAAAUCUGUUUGAUUUCAUGGUGUUUUUGUUGUUUCCUCCUGAUGCUUCAGUCUCACACAGACCAGGUCAGUGUGUUUGUGGGAGUGUGGCAUUCUGGGUACUGUAGUUUGUUGUCUCCUGUCUGUCCACAGUCACACCUGUAUGUCUCACAGUGGACCCCCCUGGUGGAUCUGGAGUACCCGUGGUCCUGGUUCUGUUUCCGUGAUGUCACCACCUCGGUGUCGUGUUGACCGACCCUCUAACCUCCUUCGUUCACCUGCAGCAGGUGAGCUGGUGUACAGUGAGUACAGCAGGAAGUCCAGUUUAGACCUGAAUGUGUGUUGAAACCUGAGGAGGCUGUAAACUCACACCUCUGUCCCCUCUGGAACCAGGAGCAACCUGAUCCGGAUCACCUGACACCCCCUCAGCUCGGCCCGGCCGCCUCUCUGCAGUCUGCUGGCCGCCCUGCAGCAUGGCGGACGCCGGGGCCUGGAGGACGCACCAGGACGGCCCCCGGGUCCUCCAACCAGGACCGGGACCGGGACCAGGAACAGCUCCAAACCAUGUGUGGAUCUCUCUGAUUGCAGGUGAG